AUACGGAGGAUCCAAGCGUUAUCCGGAAUCAUUGGGUUUAAAGGGUCCGUAGGCGGGUUUAUAAGUCAGUGGUGAAAGUUUGCGGCUCAACCGUAAAAUUGCCAUUGAUACUGUAGAUCUUGAAUUAGUGUGAAGUGAUUAGAAUAAGUAGUGUAGCGGUGAAAUGCAUAGAUGUUACUUAGAAUACCAAUUGCGAAGGCAGGUCACUAACACUAUAUUGACGCUGAGGGACGAAAGCGUGGGGAGCGAACAGGAUUAGAAACCCUAGUAGUCC
rnacentral:rRNA from 1 species